UGAGGCAGGAGAAUCGCUUGAACACAGGAGGUGGAGGUUGCAGUGAGCCGAGAUUGCACCAUUGCACUGCAGCCUGGUAGAGUGAGACUUCGUCUCAAAAAAAGAAAA
rnacentral:miRNA from 1 species